CCACUCGACGACGAAGAGAUGGUCCAGUAUAUCAUUACUGGCCUAGAUGAGGACUUCAGCCCCAUCGUCUCCGCCAUAUGCGCCAGGAUCGAGCCGAUCACAGUCGGUGAGUUGUAUUCACAACUUCUCAAUUUUGAGA